rnacentral:rRNA from 1 species
ACAUUUCUUUUAGAUUUAUUUAAAAGUAAAGUCUGCCCACUGUAAAUAUGAAGGGCCGCGGUAUUUUGACCGUGCAAAGGUAGCAUAAUCAUUAGUCUCUUAAUUGGGGAAUGGUAUGAAUGGCUAAAUGAUUUUUUGCUUUUAUUGUUAUUUAUUUUAUAAUUUUGAUUUUAAGUGAAAAUACUUAGGUGUUUUAGUUAGACGAUAAGACCCUAUAGAAUUUUAUGUUUAUUUAAUAUUUUUAUUAAAUUAAGGUUUAAAUGGGGCAUUUUAUGAAUAUAUAUAAUUUCUUUUAAAAUUAAUUUAAAAUAUCUUAGCUAAAAGAUUCUUAAAAAAUUACCUUAGGGAUAACAGCGUAAUUUUUUUUGAGAGUUCAUAUCGACAAAUUAGAUUGCGACCUCGAUGUUGAAUUAAAAUCCCUGUAUGGAGCAGAAUUUAUAUUAGGUAGUCUGUUCGACUAUAAAAUUUUUACAUGAUUUGAGU